CCCUUAGAUGUCCUGGGCUGCACGCGCGCUACACUGAUGUGUCCAGUAAGCACCUAACCUCUUCCGAAAGGAACGGGUAACCUUUGCAAAGCACAUCGUGAUGGGGAUAGAUUAUUGCAGUUAUUAGUCUUGAACGAGGAAUUCCUAGUAAGCACAAGUCAUCAGCUUGUGUUGAUUACGUCCCUGCCCUUUGUACACACCGCCCGUCGCUCCUACCGAUUGAAUGUUCCGGUGAGCUCUUCGGACUGCGCGGUCUGCAGUUUCUGCGUUCCGUGCGGAAAGUUGCGCAAACCUUAACAUUUAGAGGAAGGAGAAGUCGUAACA
rnacentral:rRNA from 1 species